rnacentral:lncRNA from 1 species
UAGCCGUCACACAUAAGCACCCACACCCCUCUCUUCAUCUUCUGCAAGCACACCCUCAAAACCUUAGCUGAAAACCACCAUAACGUCGGAAACCCACCAUUUCCGACCACCUCGAUGCCCCCUCCGUUCGUUCUCAUCUUCCUCACCACCCUAUCACCCUCAGUUCGCCGGAAAACCACCCAACCAGCUUCUCACCAUCGCACAGCCCGUCGACCAGCAGACCCCAGCGACGCCGCUGCUAGCCCGUCGACCUCCACGAGCGACCAAAUUCCACAAAAACGCAUCAACGUCCAGACCACCACUGCUUCCAGUGAGGCCUCCCUCCAGUCGCGCUAACCAGCAGCCUUUCCUCCAUCGAACGCGCUGCUUCACUUCUACUCCUCACGUCCAGCCCAACGCCUGAAGCAGUCCAGUCGACCACUUCACUGCCCAACAUCGUCACCCACGACCAGUGAUGAACCAGUCUGCUUCACCCCUUAUUCCAAACGACCACCCAUGUCGCUAACCACUCAAAUGACCAAAACAGCCCCCGUCGUUGUUCCGUCUAACAUAACGCUUAUGUCAGUUUGAGUACAUACUUUUUCGUUGAGACCGUCGGUUCGUCGAGGUAAUGUCGUUGUUUUCCGGUUCGAGCUCCAUCCCGAGUUCAAAAUUUUUGGGCAGAUUCGAGUUAUUAUAGUUUCAAAGUUUUCAGGCAGAUUUGUUUUUGUUUGAGUUCGUCUUUAUUCCGAUCCGGUUUGUUGGUUUAAGUUUCAUUUCUGUCCGUAUUUUGUUUGAUAUUUCUCGAAUUUGAAAUCAGUAUAUGUUUGAUUCUUUUCUUGUUCAUUGUUUAUCAUUUCUUGAUUAUUUCUUUAGUUUGUUUUUAUUCAUUUUAAAGAAUUUAGUUUUGAUAUAAAAGUUUUUUAGUUUAAUCACUUGAAUCCUUCAUCGUGGUUGUAAUAUUGUUAGAUUUAGUUUGAGGUUCAAUUGAUUAUUGAGUUUAAUGAUUUGAAUCUUUUUAUUUGUUCUGUUUAAGUUUAAUUUGAAUCUGAGCUGUGAUUUGAAUCUACUUGUUUUUUAUUGUUGUUGAAUCUGAAAGUAUGUUUGUUGUUAAAAAUGUUGUUCAGUUAAAAUAAUUUCAGUUGUUUCUUUGUUGUUCAUCAUAUAGUUUGAAUUUGUUUAUUGAAUUUGAUUAGUAAUUGGUUAUAGCUGUUGUAUCUUGGUUAAUUGAUUAGUUAUAGCUGAUAGGGGUAGAAUAGUAAUUUUUAGUAAUUUUGAGGGUAUUUUGGGAAUUGAUUAAAUAUGGGCCCAUAACUUUUAAUUAAAAUAAGAGGGGACUAGGGUUAGUGUGAGAAAAGACAUAAUGAUGUAAAGUAAAAAAGGGGGUAAUAAGAAAAGGUCUUCUUUGGCCACUGAAAAGAGGUGGGCUUUGGUGUCCAUGCUGACUGCUUUUACUUUAUUGGAAAUCAUAAAUAGUAUAGGUAAUAGUAAAUGGGUAAAAGAUAGAUAUAGAGAAGAAUAUUUUUGGGCUGGAAAGUGAAGAAAGGAAAAGAGGUAAUAAUAAAAGAGGGUAGUAAUAAUAAUUAAAUGGUAUAGGAAAGAGUCUUGCUUGGGAUAUAAAAAAGGAGUCAUUUUGACACUUAAAAAGGAAGGGAUUUCAGAGAUAAAAAUUUCAGAACUUAAAGAGAAGACGAAAAAACAGAGAAUAAAAAAAAGAAUAGAGAGUUGAAAAAUUAGAAAGCUGAAAACCCCAUUGUUUAUUUGAAGCUUCUCUUUUUGCUUCAUUGAUUUUAUUUUCUCUUGAUUCAAAUACUCUAAGACCGAUCUUAAGUAACUCCAGUGUAUCUUUGAGUUCAUUUGGCUUGUGUUGAUAUUGUAGUGAGUUAAAUGCCAUUUUUGUUGGUAUUUUCUGGUUUGAUUUUACUGGGUUUCUGGUCUGUUGCUAUUGGUUUGCUGGGAAUUCUGUUGGGUUUUGUUGAAAUAUGUUGCUGGUUUUAGCUACUGCUGUUGCUGUUUUGCUGUGUUGAUUACUCCCUUGCUGAUUUCUCACCUUCCUCUUCUUUUGUUUCCAAUACCAGGUACACGACUGCAACAUUGGUUAUUGUAAGCUGAAAAAUGUAGAAGCAUGAAUACAAAUAAAAAAUAGAAGUUUGAAGUUUUGAUUUAACUUUUUC